AAUAAAUAAGUUUAAUACCUUUUGCAGCAUGGACCAGCGAUUAAAUGCCGGUAAUUAGCAAAGUUAAACUAACGAAAAAUA
rnacentral:rRNA from 1 species